ensembl:lncRNA
GAAAACAAGGAUCUACCCGAUGUAGUUCCUCUUACUUUAUGGAACAAGUCUAGAACCAAGCUUCAACUCAUUUGAAGAACUAUCCUGGGAGAACGACAGAUAAAGUUUCCAAGAUGUCAAUGGCUGGAGGCAUCAUACCUAUAUAAUGUACUGCAGACUGCACAGGAUGGAAAUCAGAUGAUGUGCAACAGAAAUGCUCAAGCCAAAGCUCACAGGGUACCUGCAUUUGUUACUUAUGCUUAAACAAUAAAACAUAUGCUUAAAGCAAUAGCUUUUGUUAGAUUCAAUAAUUUGCUGAGAUGAGCACUGCAAGUACUCUGCAGCACUCCUCCUUUACUGAAAUUAAUGAAGCAGAAAACAAUGUGUAUUUGGAGCACAGCUUAAUAUUUGAGUGACGUAAUAUUGUUCCAGAAUUCAGCUAGAUAUAAUUUUAUUUUCUAUGUUGAAGAAACUGAACAAUAUUUUUUAAUUAAAUGUAUCUUGGAUUAAGUUUCAUGCUCUUUGCACGAAUAUGUCCAAUCUGUCCUGUGCUAUGAUUAGCAUACAUGGACAAAGGCUACUUUUUGUUCACAUUUUAUAGUAUAUUUUGGCAAUGAGUAAACAGUACAAUGAAUCAAAUUAAUGAAGGGGAAAUAUGUAUUGUUCUGUACUCCGGCUGUAGAAAUUUGGCUCCAUAAAACUGCUAUAUUAAGAAUGGAUUCAAUUAAUUAAAAGUAUUUUUCACUAACAGCUGUAUGUUGGUACAGAACACACACAUUACAGUUUUAACUCUUUAAGUUCAGCUUGCAGAAAGGUAUUAUUUGUGCUCACUUAGUGGUCUGAUAAUUAAGACAGUAAUUCACAGAAACUAAAAAAAAAAUAAAAUAAAUAGAUGAAAUAAUGAAGAGCUGACAACACCAAAAGUUUAAAAACAUCUGAGGAAUGUUUAGAUUUUUCACUACCUGGUACAAACAUUCUUCAGCAUAAAGAGUCUUACAGACAGUUAAUCCUGCAAGGAUUAACUAUUUUAGUAACUAAUUUCCCCAAAUUGUGUUUACUCAAGUGCACAAAAAGCUAGCUUUAUGAUCAAUGCACUUCAGUUUUUGUUUGUUCAAUAAACAUUUGAGUUCU